AAAAGCGCUUUUUGAUGAAGGUUGCAUUUAUGUUGGUGUUCCCCCACUCUAUAAGGUUGAGCGUGGCAAGCAUGUUCACUAUUGUUAUGACGAUUCAGAGCUUAAAAUCCUCCAGAAUAGUUUUCCUGCAAAUGCUUCAUACAAUAUCCAAAGAUUUAAAGGCCUAGGGGAGAUGAUGCCUUUACAACUCUGGGAAACCACAAUGGACCCAGAGAGUAGGCUACUGAAGAAAUUAGUCGUGGAAGAUGCUGCGGAGGCAAAUGUUGUAUUCUCCUCUCUUAUGGGUAUCCGUGUUGAUGGCAGGAAGGAACUGAUACAGAACUCUGCAAGCAUGAUCAAGCUGGAGCAUCUUGAUAUUUGAGGGCGGUCCAGGUUAAAUUUUUUGACAACCGCGUAAUUUACAAAUGCACCAACUGACCAUUUUAGUUUUUCCAAUCUUAGGAAGAAGUUUUUAAAAUGGCAUCAUUAGGUAUCCUUUCGGGGCAGUGAUGGAGAUUCGCAUUUGACUUAUAUCCAGAAGUCUUGCUAAUGUAAUUCCCUUGUGCAUUUCAGAUGAAAUGAUAUAUUUUGCUCCACUCGCAAUUUCUUUGAGUUACAUUUUUUCUGACUCACCGGACUAAUACUAGGAGCCAUGAAGUCACUUGGUUAGUACACUUUCACCUACUGCAUGUUGAGUGUAAGGUCAUAAGAUUGGACUACCUCUAAUUCCUUUUCUUCUGGCGCUUCUGGAAACUUGACAGUUUUGUAUUUUAUUUUUCUAGUUUAUCAUUGUAAUUUCACUAUAAUUCUUCUGUGGAGGUAAACCAGUUUUCAGUUCUUGGUCAUUCAUUCACGUGACAUAUUCCAUGUACCAUCGUUAUGUUUCUCGUGUUUUGGAGUUUGAGGUGUUAGUUCGAUCUUGCAAAAGUCGCCAAUGCCAGCAAUACUUGUAUUUGAUCAUUAUGACUUUACUACUUUAAGAUGUUCAAGAUUGAUUGUAGUAAAUGCA